UACAGAGGGGGCAAGCGUUGUUCGGAAUUACUGGGCGUAAAGGGCGCGUAGGCGGCCUUCUAAGUCGAACGUGAAAUCCCCGGGCUCAACCCGGGAACUGCGUCCGAUACUGGAAGGCUUGAAUCCGGGAGAGGGAUGCGGAAUUCCCGGUGUAGAGGUGAAAUUCGUAGAUAUCGGGAGGAACACCGGUGGCGAAGGCGGCGACCUGGGUCGAGACUGACGCUGAGGCGCGAAAGCGUGGGGAGCAAACAGG
rnacentral:rRNA from 1 species